rnacentral:rRNA from 1 species
UACGGGGGGGGCAAGCGUUGUUCGGAAUUACUGGGCGUAAAGGGCUCGUAGGUGGCCAACUAAGUCAGACGUGAAAUCCCUCGGCCUAACCGGGGAACUGCGUCUGAUACUGGAUGGCUUGAGUUCGGGAGAGGGAUGCGGAAUUCCAGGUGUAGCGGUGAAAUGCGUAGAUAUCUGGAGGAACACCGGUGGCGAAGGCGGCAUCCUGGACCGGCACUGACACUGAGGAGCGAAAGCCAGGGGAGCAAACGGG